CACACACACACACACACCGCUUUCUGUAAAAGCAUCUUCUCGUCAUCUUGCCCCUCUCUCUGUUAUCACGUGAAAUUUGGUAAUAUCGCAUCCGAUCUGCACUUAGUUAUCUUGCCUCCGCCUCCAUCCACACAGCAGUGGUUGCAGAGACUUAAUUCUCUUCUACUUAGGAAAAAAAAAGCCCAAAGCCCCUUUUAAUAAGCGUUUUCAGGGUCGUCUGUUGGCGCUGCUGCACGUCAUUCAGAAAAUACCGUUUUGUGCCUGCCCAUCCGUCAGACGAAUCCACCGCCGAUCACUGCGUUCUUAUUUCUCUGCUAGGAAAUCCAAUAAAUCCUCGGAAGUGGUCAGAGCCUUCCAGCGAACUGUUUUCCGUAGGAUAAUGUUAACUCUUCCACAUGGAAGUAUUACGCUGGAAUAGGUCUGUUUCGCUACAUUUUCAUUUUGAACGCUAUCAGAGCAAAGCACUGCGAGCACGUCUUUCCGUCUCUGUUGACAAUAUAAUUAACACUUGACAUCCAUUUUGAAGCAAUUUUUAUUAUAAUUUACCUUGCUUCACCGAGCAGUCUAAGAUCAAGUUCCAGACAAAAACGAAAUUUGCGAUCUUAACUAAGCAAAAUGCUUCCGUUGAUCCAAAACAUUUUUUUUUCAAUUGCCGUUCCAUGAGAAAUGUCAAAAUUUGGACAGGUUGUUCCUAUUUGGAAUGAAAGCUCGUUUUAAAAUUUAGACUAUCUUCUAGAGCGAGUUUGACCAGUUCUGUAAAUGAAAGUCACACUGGAUUGGAAAAACGAAUCAAAACAACCACAUCACAGAAUUAGAGACUUCAGAGUUAACACCUCAGGGUAGUUAGAUAGCCUAUUAAUAGUCUCACCCCUCUUUGCUAUAAAAAGAAGGCAGAGUGCUCCGGCUUCAGGACCAGGCUAUGCGCAAGCAAACGGGGCGGGGGAGCUACCCUAAAAUUUGAGGAACGACGGCUCUGAGCGCUCGUCCCUGGGGUGUCACGGCCACCAGAUUCACAUGCAGGCAGGACCGAGACCGAGCGCAUCGCGGGAGGUUUCCGACGAGGUGUGCGGGGCAGACGGACACAGCGACACACCGAUGGGCAAACUGCCCCCCCCGGAUCCCCGCACCAAACCCCGGCACAGGGCGGGGGCACCCCCGGGACGGGGAAAAGGGGCGACAUUUUUAAUAUUUAAAAAAAUAUUUUAAUAUUUUAAAAUACGACAAAAUGCUUAAAAGACCCGGCGGCGCCUGCGGGGCGGCGGGUGCAGCCGCCCCCGGUCCCAGCCCCGGCCGCGGCCCCGGCGCGGCUGCUGCGCGGAGGGCGCGGGCAGAGCGGCGGGGGCAGGUCGCGGCCAGGCACUGCGCAGCCCCCGAGACGGCGGGGGCAUGACGGCUCCCUCACCUCCUAGCUCGGAAGAAAGGCAACGCCUCUCUCUUUUCUCUCUCUCUCUCUCUUUUUUUCUUUUUCUUUUUCUUUUUUUUUUCUCCCGGUGUCAGUGGCUCCGUGGACAUAGCCCCGUGUUUGCAAUUAAGCGCAUAAAUAUGUACGUUCGCCGUGCGAAUGCAGCAAUUUCCAUUUCGGUCGUGCAGUCGCUGUCAGUGUUUAUCCGUCUCCCUUGAGCCUCCAGGACCAAAGGGGCUGUGCAAAUCGUUUGCAUUUUUCGAUGAUUUUAGGAAAACCUUGUUUUGUACUGCUGUUAUUGCUGGUCACACCGAACAUCUAAUUAAUUAAUAAAUAGCAUCAAUAUUUUCAAAUAAUAGAAGCAACAAAUUGAAAGUCUAUUGCUUCAAAAGAUGCUUAUAACUAGAUGACUAUAUUGUAUUUUUCCACUGCUGUUAUUGACGUAUUAAAAAACCUCACAGAUGACUGAAUGUUAAGGACCCAAAGUACUCUAUUUUAAGCCGGAUUAGAUGAAUAUGAGCAAAAGGUAGUGUAGUCUGGUGUAUAUAAGGACUUUUUUUUCACUCUUUCAUUUUUUACAUUCAUCACCCUUGGUGGGCAUAAUACCUGCCUAAGAAUUUAAACACAUUAGUAGCAUAGCAGAUGGAAAUAACUGAAAUUUUAUUGGUUAUUUUCAGUAUUCAUAAUAUCAGCAGAGGUAGGAAGCCUUUUUCUUAAAUAAUCAAUCCUCAGAGUAAAUGAGUGUGAAGGUUGACAUAAGGUACGUGUCACUAUUUUCAAGAAAAAAAAAUUAUUUAGUCAUUUUUGAUACUCUGAACAACAAAUAUGCUCUAAACCAAGUAAUUGUAUUCCGAGAUAACCUCAAGGAUUUGCUGCUAACAAAUGCUAUUAUGAUUAGUAAUCAGGAUGGUAUCUGGAGCAUUUUGCAUUUAUUGAGGUCAAUCAAACAUAAGUUUAGCCAUGUUCAACUCUAAUAUUCAGCUGUGAAAUACUGCAGAAAAGUUUCAUUAUAGGUUUAUAUGUAUAACUUGCUUUAUUUCAGCCUUGCACCAGUGCACUUUUGAUUUUUAGGACACUGCUGUACAUUAGUUUUUCUGACAAUGAAAUUACAGGCUGACUCUAGUGCAUGUGAACCAAUGUUUAUAAAGAAGCCCAGGCUCUGUAUCUUUUCUCAUUUACUUAGAUCCUCAAAUGGUCUAAGUCAACUUACUCAGCUGGAAAUAGUCCCCAUUCAUGGUGACUUAAGUAUGAAGUGUCAGUCCCAGAGACCUCCAUGGAAACACCUAUCGAAGCAGUAAACCUGGCUAAUGGAGCCGUUCUGGGUUUAGCAAUAGGAAUUGCUGCACUGCCCUGGCAUUUGCAAUUGCAGCUUAACCAAGCUGGCUUUAAGCAGGUCCUGUCCCAGAAAUGUUCGGACACCUAACAUUGUUCUGUUACCACAUCUGGGUAGCUAUUGGUACCAUACAAACCCAUCCAGUGCUAACUUAGCAAUUAAAAUAGUUCCUGUAAUGAACUUAACAACAGUAAGCGUAAGGUAGAUGCUCCCUGUGCUUCAUGUCAGGCUCUGUCAGGUUUGCCAGCAUCCCUUCACGAUGCUGUUGCCACCACUUGCAGGGGGCCAGUAACUCUAGUGGAAGUGUGAAAAGAGCAGUUAAGGCAGUGUCAUGGCACGGCAUCACCAGCAGAGAUGGUCUAUCGAAGCCCCGGGCGGGCUGGGAGACAAAAACACAGCGGCGCUCAGCUCAGCUGUGGGCGUUUCUCUAGGACUCAGUGUCCCAGCUGUGAUUCAGUCCCCAUGCGCACAGUGUCCUCCAGCUGACGUGAAGCCCAAACACGAAGCCUCUUGUUUUUCUGGUGCCGGCUCCAGGCAGCUUCCACAGUUAGGCACUUUCUUCUAGGACAUGAAGUGCCUGCAGCACCCGGCAGGAGGUUGGAGACAGACACAAGGAAGCGAGGAGGCAGCAAACAUUUGGAUUCUCUCUUACUCAUCGGCAGGUCUAAGGAGGGCAUAAGAAAGUGUGCAAAGUGGGCUUUUGGGGGCAUACAGUUCUGAUGACUUCAAGGAGCAUAGCUGAGGGUGAAGCUGAAGCUUUUCCCCCAAAUGCCCUUAACAGGACACCGGUGCAGUACAACUCCCUGCAGGCCCCCAGCCUGUCUAUAAAUGAAAAUGUUUCAAUUUCUAUGCACCGCUGAACUCCUUCCCUCCAAAACUCUCAUGUCAGUCAAAACAUUUCCUUUUAUCCAAAAUAAAGCCUUUCACUUUCUUUUGGAAUCAUUUAACUCUUCAAAUAAAAUGAUCAGCUUUGAAGCAAGGAACCAAAAAGGUACUUUGAAUUUUCCUCUCUUUUUCAAUUUGGCUAACAGGGUCACCUCUGGAGUAGGAGGAAAAGUCUGUAACAUCUGGCCUCUCUUCCCUUCACAGCCUGGACUAACACCCAAGAUCUCUGCUCCUCAUCCCUGCUCGGCUGCCAGAAAUGAUGGUGAAACCCACUGUUCUCCUGCUAGUGACAAGGGCACAGAGAAAGCAACAGCCUGCUGCCAUCCCCAACUGCUCUGCUAGCUCAAGAGUCAGAAGUCUGUGCGUCGAGUUUCAAGUUUUUAAUUUUGUUACUGAACAAGGUAGGGGCCGACAUGAGUACUGUCCAUGAUAAUUCACUCAUGCAAUUUCAGGGGGAUGUAAUUCAGCUUAAGACUAGAAUUUAGGCUCUAACGCUAAUUCUAGUACUUACUACCUACAAGAAUAAUUACACUUGCAAACCCAGUGUGCUGCCUGUGCUAAGUUUUCAUGUCUCAGCUUUGCUUUUGAUAGCUUCAACAGAUUUGUUGAAUGACGUCUCCUUUAGAGGGACUUUUCCAAACAAAUUAAGUUCAUUUCGGCUCACAAGAAAUGGAAAAACAUAUUUUUUCUUGUGCCUGCUUGGAGCUGUGUGUGCUUCCGAGGUCCAGAAGGUGACACAUCUCCCACAAGCAUUCCCUCUAAUACAUGUAUAGAGAAGAAAUGAAUAGUUGUGAGCUGUAAUUACUAGACAGUUAAAAGAUAUUCUGGGCAAAAAUAUGUUAAUCAUAGCUAAUCAUAUGGAUUUGUGGGACAUAGAGUUGACCAGGAUGAGUUUACAAAGAGAAUCAGAAAACAAAUACAUAAAUCUGAACGGGCAAAGUAGGCACACUGAAUGUAACAGGGUUACGUACUUGGACGAAAUGAGCGGGAUGGGCCCUGGAAGAGCUUAGCUGAACGUUAAAUGAGAGCAUUUAGGCUGAAUUCUUCACCUUGGCUAGGCUAUUUGGACAGAGCUGGUGUUAGCAGGAUAUGCUGUUUCUUUUGUUAUGUUUAAGGUUAGAAUUAGGGAGAAAUGCUGGUGGACUGGAAUGGGGGGCUGAUAGGGACAGUCUUAUUCAGGGCUUUUUUACUGCCUUGGAGAGGACUGAAAAAAUAGAAACUAGGAGUUAGUAAGCUGGGCAAGAGCUGCAGCAAGAAGUGGGGUUUGCUGGUGCCCAGGCGGCAGAGAAGGGGAGAAGAAGCUGCCAUGUCCAUGCUGCCAGUGGGGCCCGUGUGUUCCCUGGCCCCAGAGCCCCGGGGGAUGUUUGCACCCCGGCCCUGAAUGUGCUCUGUUCUCUGCUCUCCGAAGUAAGAGCCGCUGCCUUGAAUCCAUGCCCCAAGGCAGGCAUGAAGUGACUGCCGACCGCCCCAUCGGGUUUUGGAGGCUGGGGCUGGCUCACCAGCUGCCUUGACGCCAACUCUUCAUGUAAAGGCAGAAUCCAGUAGAGCUAGCAUCACCCUUUUCUAAAAGCAAUAGCAAUACAUAUCCUUCAGGGGAUUCAGCAUUACUGUUGUUCCCAGUAUCUGUCAGUCUGAAUGUUAAAAUUGUAUUGUUUAAUGGUUUGAAUUAUUUUAUCGGUCCUCUGUUUGGAAAGCAGAAUCCUGCUGUGUAAAGCUCAAGAAGUAAAUAAAAUCCAACGAUGAAGGACCGAAUUCCAGCGGGAGUCCUGCUGGAGAAAGGGCUGCACAGGUUGACCUAUUUAAUUAAAAUGUAAUAAAAUGCAAUUUCCCUUACAUCACCACUUUCUAGUGUCAACCUUAGUAUCACAAACUUGUUAAAAGCUGAGCAACGUGGUUCAUCUGCGGUUACCUCUCUGUAAAAAAAAAAGCAAAAAGAUGUUUUUGAGGAAAUGUGUUAAUAAUUAAAAAUAAACUUAAUGGCCUAAAUGAACAGUACUGACAAUAUUAAAAAGGGUAAUGACUUAAUUACUUCUGUUAUGUCAGUUAUUAAUUUGUGGCCCAUCAAGCUAUAAACCAGGAUAAUUUAUUGACUGCAAUAUAAACUGGAUAUGUGCCAUGUUAUUCAACAAAAACAAUACGCUGCAAAAACAAUACAGAGAAGAGGUAAUUUGUACAGAGUUCAUGAGACAAUUAUAUCAUCUAAUUACAAAACUGACUCACUAUGCCCUUGGCUCUAUUUAUUAGAAGAACAUUGAAGGACAUCCUCAACAUUCUCAGAGUCUAGCUAUUUAAACUUAAAUCCUGACCAUAUACACUCAAGCAUCCAGGAGCUGGUGUGAUCCAGGAGAUAGACCAGGAGACCCAAAGGAAUAUGUCUUGAUUUGGGAUUAGGAAUACUACUUAAUUUUGCUAUGUAUCAGAAAUUAAACUACCACCUCUUUUUUUUUUUUUUUCCCCCCUGAAAAGUGCUUUGAAACUCAAUCAAUAUUACUAAAAGUGUUUUGGAAAACUUUGACAAAUAAUUCAACACAAAGAAUACUACAGUAAUCAAUUAAUUAUCUCAAAAACUUUAUAGCAGUUUGAAAGAUGUCUUUUACAUGCAUGCACUUAACAUGCUUCUCUGCUAUUUCUGCUGGUAUAGUGCCUCUCUGGUGUAAUCUGGCAGUAGCACAGUAUGCAAGGGCCUGUGUUUUGUGUUCAAACAAAAGCAAGUCAUCAAGGUAUCUGAGCUGUCACACAUAACCAAGGCUCUGCGUAUAACUUGCUUUCUCACAGGGAAGCUCAUCAGAGCACAGAAACAACCAAGACCAAAACAACAGCAAGUUGCUGAAUUAUUUUUCAAAUUGCCAAAUCGUAUCUGUGCCGCAACCUUUUGAACUCUUUUCGGAUGUUUUUCCUUGAACAUUUUAUGUUAUUUAAGGAAUGUACAAAUAUUUUCUUAGUUGAUCAUGUAAUAAACUUCACUAAAUAAAACCCUUUUUGUAUCUGUUGUGAUGUUUCUUCUUAUUCUCAGUUUACUGUGUAUUUUAUAUUUGAACAGAUUUCAAUGGGCAACAUCUAGCCAUGCCAUAGUAAAAUGUGGAAGAGGCUAAUACUCCUGCAGAAUGAUUAUAACUAGUAUUCAUUUAUAAAGUGGGAAAAAAUCAGUUUCUCGUUACUUCUUUAUCAUUAAUAAUAAUGUUGGCUUGCAUGCAACACAUUUUAAAACUAAGGCCUGUGAGGAUCUAUGAGCUGGAUUAGCAAACAGAGAGCUUGGAAGACCGGCUUUAAUUUUGACCCUUGUGGGGAAGGCGUAGUUCUAUAUAUUGGAAGUAUAAUUCUACACUAUAUUGAAUUUGGUGCAAAACUGGCUUUAGAAAUCCUCUCCCCCUGCCUGGAGGGACUCCUCUGACUGGAAGAGUCACCACUGCCCCAGUGCAGCAACCCAUGGCCUUCUCCCCAUUGUGUUAGAGAAACUUCUUGUGGGACCAUCUUGUAGAAGAAAGAGGACUGAAAUGGUUAGGGUUAAAAAUCUCCCUCCCUCUCCUCCUCCCCAGAAGAGGUUUAUUUUUAACUUCCAUCACUUCAUGCACUGAUUUAAGCAUUGUCAUACACACAUUUGUUUUGGCACAAUCGAGGAGGUGACAAACUGCAGGCCAGAGGUGGGAACAAGCAUCUGGGGCAGGAGCUGGUUACAGCAGCUUAGCUGCCAAAGCCAGGGUAUCAUGGGACUACGGUGUGAUAGUUCAUUGUAUGAACUUAAACUUUGCCUUUCCUGAUUGUCUUCACAGCCGUAUAGCUUCUCUGCUGCAAAUCCAUAGUACAGAAGUGCUGCACCAGUAUGGCUUUUCUAUCCCAGGCCAGUUCAUUUACAGUAGGGAUUUGCAGUCAUGUGAGUUAUUUCAUGCAGAAACACAGUGUAGGCAAACCUUCGCCAAGUCACAAGGCCUGUAUCCUUAAAGGGAUUUAUUUAGAUGGCUACCAUUCAGUCAGUGGAAGGCUUAAAUGGACAAGGUUAGUAGCAUACAUGUAGUCAGAGACAAUAUCUUGGCCAUAGGGCAACAGCUACCUACACUACUCAGCUGUGAUCAUCCACCACUUGCAACUCUCUGAUCAUAUUCUUAGGUGUUUUGCUUACAUGCUAAAGGUCAAGCUGUCUGCGUGAUUCAGGGCUGAGUAAGAACUUCCUCCAAGUCUUUUUGGCCAGGAUUUGUGGUUCUUCCAUCUUUCCUCAAUGCAUGGGUCAUGAGUCACGUGAUGAAAUUGUUCAGGCCUCCCUUCUUAUCUCUCCAACUUCCUGACAUUUCACGGACCUCAGGCAAUGGUGGCUCUUUGAUUCCUUCUGUCCUCUGCCUGUGAAUUUCUCACCUAAGGACUCAAAAGCUAUAAUCUAAUUCAAGUUUUUGGAUACAGCUUUGUGAAUACUCGGGCAUACUUGAAUAGCCUUUACCACACAGGAGGUCAGAUAAUAUAUAAUCUUCUCCUCAUUAGGGUAAAAGUAUGUCCCUACCACGUUUCUAACCAACCGAUUCUAUUGGAUACAACACAGUACAUAGUACAACCCAUCCUGUAGUUUCCUAGACCAAAAACAAUGCAAGUAGUUUACCUGUAACAACAUCACAUCAUGACAUCUUAGCUGAGGGCUCCCAUCCAAAGCCCGUUGAAGUCAAUGGAAGAAAUACCCAAAAAUUCAGAGGGGGACUGGACCUCUCUGUACCUUCGGUGCUCCAGGUAACUCAUCUUAAAUAUCACACUCUGGGUGUUGACCCUCCAGCGUGUUCAUCAACUGUUAUUUUUUUCUGCUGGUCUACUAGGGACCCAGAACAUUUUGUUACUCAGGACCUGUACUUUUGCCAGGUUUAAGACUUCAGUGUCAAACUUUUCAACAAAAAGACUUUGUUUGACUGUAUACACACGUUUCUUCUCUUCUGCUCCACAUGUACUGUUACAGUCUCAGCUGAGCUUUGUGCAUCUUAUGUAAUGCAAAUAUAUCAAAAAUGUGAUAACAUCACUACAGAUCUAAUGAAGCUCUUCCAUGGCAUUUUGCUGCACCUUAAUGGCAUAAACAAAAUACCUGAUAGUAUGGGCAGGGAGUCACCCUUGAAAAAUCAGGACUGAUGCAAAUGCAGGCUGGACCAUGAGGACUUGCAGCCCUUCAAGAGCUUUAUGGCAUCUUAACCCUCCAUCCUCUACAAAACUAGCCCUGGAACCAUUUCUUCAAAUUAUGGUGAGAUAAUAAACCUCCUUAUGUGUUCAGCUAUUUUGUGUCUCCUUCCAAUACACAAGGAGGACAGACUCUUGCUGCAUCCUUGGUUUCAGUGACCUUACCUCCACUGGAGGUAUCUUUUUAUUUACCUAUGAAUCUCAUUCAAGUUUCUCCUGUUCUCAUUUCUCAGAGAUGAAGCCUUGAACAACCUGUACAGAACAUGACGAACUACAGCUCUUGGGCUGGGAAGGUUCCCUGCUGCAAAUAAAGACACGCUUACUUUGGGGACCACACUAUGAUGGCUUAUGAUCGAUUACUCGGUGCUUCAGUGAAGUGAGAGGAGCAUCCCACAGCCUUGCUGCCUAGCAAGCAAGGAAGCCAGGGACUCUCCCCUGGUGGUAGAAGCAAGCGAGGUAAAAGGAGGAAGAAAAAAGAGGGUGGAGAAAAGGAGAGACCUCAGAAAUCCUGGAUGAGAAGAGAGCUGCUGCCUGAGUCAUCCAAGACCCACCGAGCCCCAUUUCCUGUCCCUGACUGUAGCCAGGAGGAGGCAUUUCCUGAAGCAUAUCUAAAAACAUCUCUAUCAAGUGAUUCCCCCUCCUGUUUUCUUCUCCCAUCCCCAGUAUGUUAAACACCUUCAAACCUAAAUGCUCUUAGCAUGAGUUGAAAGGGGCAGAACCGGGAUCCUGAUUUUUAGCCACACACUGUUGAAGGGAGAAUCUCCCAAGAGUUAGUUUAACAGUUUGUUUUCUUGGUUUCAGUAGAGUUUGUUCAUAUUAGCCCUGAUUCAGAAAUGCACUUUCAUACUUGGUGAGCUUAAAGCACAUGCUUUCACUAAUUAAAGAAUGGAAGGAAUAACGUGCUUUCCA